rnacentral:tRNA from 1 species
AAAAAGGUAAGCUAAUCAAGCUAUCGGGUUCAUACCUCGCUCAUAAAGGUAUUAAUCCUUUCCUCUUUA